rnacentral:sRNA from 1 species
GUUGGGUGUAGUGGCCACACCUGUCACCCCAGCUACUUGGGAGGCUGAAGCAGGGGAAUUACAAGUUUGAGGCCAGCAAGGGAACUUAGUGAGACCCUGUUUCAA